rnacentral:rRNA from 1 species
AUUGAACGCUGGCGGCAUGUCUUACACAUGCAAGUCGAACGGCAGCAUGAUCUAGCUUGCUAGAUUGAUGGCGAGUGGCGCACGUGUGAGUCAUACAUCGGAACGUGCCCUGUAGUGGGGGAUAACUAGUCGAAAGAUUAGCUAAUACCGCAUACGACCUGAGGGUGAAAGUGGGGACCGCAAGGCCUCAUGCUCUAGGAGCUGCCGAUGUCUGAUUAGCUAGUUGGUGAGGUAAAGGCUCACCAAGGCGACGAUCAGUAGCUGGUCUGAGAGGACGAUCAGCCACACUGGGACUGAGACACGGCCCAAACUCCUACGGGAGGCAGCAGUGGGGAAUUUUGGACAAUGGGCGAAAGCCUGAUCCAGCAAUGCCGCGUGUGUGAAGAAGGCCUUCGGGUUGUAAAGCACUUUUGUCCGGAAAGAAAUGGCGCUGGUUAAUACCUGGGGUCGAUGACGGUACCGGAAGAAUAAGGACCGGCUAACUACGUG